AGCUCCAAUAGCGUAUCUUAAAGUUGCUGCGGUUAAAAAGCUCGUAGUUGGAUUUCUGCCGAGGACGACCGGUCCGCCCUCUGGGUGAGCAUCUGGCUCGGCCUGGGUAUCUUCUUGGAGAACGUAACUGCACUUGGCCGUGUGGUGCGGUAUUCAGGACUUUUACUUUGAGGAGAUUAGAGUGUUUCACGCAGGCACGCGCCGUGAAUACAUUCGCAUGGAAUAAUAAGUCAGGACAUUGGUUCUAUUUUGUUGGCUUCUAGAUCUGAGGUAAUGAUUAAUAGGGAUAGUUGGGGGCAUCCGUAUUUAACUGCCAGGGGUGAAAUUAUUGGAUUUGUGAAAGACGGACUACUGCGAAAGCAUUUGCCAAGGAUGUUUCAUUGAUCAAGAACGAAAGUAG
rnacentral:rRNA from 1 species